rnacentral:lncRNA from 1 species
UUGAACUGCAUGCAAUGGACUUUUCAUGCAGCUCUUUCACAUCGUAACUGGAUUUACAUUAGUUUUCCGCACACCUUGCAUCAUUGUGUAUUUUGAUUCGGAGCUGAAAUUGAAGUUUUAAAUUGCCUGACCUUCAAGCAACAUCCUUAUUUUUUUUCCAUCAUUGUGUAUUUACUUAAACGUUCGGUUUGGGACGAUUGUUACAAAUUCAUUUGGGAGUCUGAUGGAUAUGGAAGGUGUGGGAUGAAAUCUAUUAAGCAAUUAAUUAUUUUAUUUAACUUUCAAUGUCAAACUUUUAUUAAACUUAAAUAGCGUUUCUUUCUGAGUAACUUGUAGUAAUAGUUUUGAGGCAUCAUUUGAAUCAUAAAUUACGAUUGAAUAUUGUUUUUUUUAUAAACCUAUAUUGGUAAUGUGAAGAUUGUAAUUCUUACAAUGUACAAAUAUUAGCUUUCUUCCAUUGUAAGCAUUUGUAAUUUGCAAUAUGCUUUUCACAGUUGGCCAUAAGGCAUUCAUUUGAAAGUGUAGGUUUUGAACAUUAUUACACUUGGCUUCAUUUGAAGAUUUGUGAGUGGAAGAAAGAGAUAAUGGGAUUUUGAGACACGUGUUGAUUCUGUUGCAAACGUGUGAGUGAUUGAAAGACGUGUUAUCCAAGGCACUAUUCCUCCACAUGGCAUGUUAUUAUUAUGUUACGCAGCUUGGGAUGAUUUUGUUAGUAAAUGCUGUUAGUUUUAUAAUGCAUCAUAUUUGCCAUGUGCUUUCUCAUGACUGGGUAAUCUUUCAACUUUUAAGCCAUCAAAAUCAUCUUACAUUACAUGAUCAUGUAAUCUAUUUGAUGCAGAAAAACAGUGCAGUUGCUGGAGCACUUACAUCAGAUGACUCAUCUCAUCAACAGAUUGUGCAAUGUGCUAUAACUGGAGCACCAAUCUCCACUGCUGCAAAUCUUCUCACUGGGAUAUUCUAAACCCUGUUAUGUUAACAUUUGCUUUUCAGGUUCAUAAUUUUUGUCAUAUCAAUACUGCUACAUGUUCAACUUGAACUUUCCAGGAUUUCAAUUUCAUGUUUUUUUUAGCAUUUACCAAUAUGUGGUGCUUUCAUAUAUCUCCAACUCCAACUUGUUUAUCUCUGCUAGUUCUGCACUGUGAAAUUUGCACUAAAUAUUCAAUUUUAAUUGUCUAUGUUGUGAUAAAUAUUUGGGAACCGUGAAACUUUGCACCUUUGAUUAUUUUCUGUGCUUCUUACACAGUUUAUAAUUUUUUUAUAAACCAAUCAAAAGAAGUAAAAAACAUGUUUAUAUUUUCGGUUUAUAAUAUCACAUUUAUAUAUAUACCAAAAAUAUGCUUUAAGGGCGGCUACGACAUAUAUUAGAAAGUAACAACACCAUUCAUUACCUAGUAAUAGUACAAAUAGAGGAUUUAAGGCAAACCACAAAAACCCCUUUUUGUUUGAGAGAAAAUGUAUGCAAUUGGGUGGAUAAGUGAUGAGAACAAAGUAUAUCCUGAUAUAAAAAAGAUAAAUUAUCUCUUAUGGUUAAUAAAAUUAUGACAUGUGUUCUAUUUAAUUAUUUUUUACAAAAAUAUUUUUAAAACUAAGCAAAAUAGUAUAUAUGUUAUGUUUUUAAUGACCGGAGGGAUAAUUAUUUCCUUAUUAUGAGGAGAUAGUCAUAAGUUAUAUAUACUUUUAGUGUAUUAUAUGUUAUGCUCUUUUUUAUUUCCUUUUGAUGAAAUAUGAAGUUCAUACUCAAACAUCAAACUAAAUAAUGGAAACAGAGAAGUCUAUCUUUUGAAAUCAGAGAAAGCAGUAGAAAAUUUGGGCGGUGGAUGUGCUAGUAGGGAUAUAUAUUUAUAUAUAUGUGCAGUAGUUUUUAAGGCCUAUUUUUCAACCAUGUGUUGGGGAAUCUUCAUCCAUUGAAAUCUGUAUUGAACUGCAUGCAAUGGACUUUUCAUGCAGCUCUUUCACAUCGUAACUGGAUUUACAUUAGUUUUCCGCACACCUUGCAUCAUUGUGUAUUUUGAUUCGGAGCUGAAAUUGAAGUUUUAAAUUGCCUGACCUUCAAGCAACAUCCUUAUUUUUUUUCCAUCAUUGUGUAUUUACUUAAACGUUCGGUUUGGGACGAUUGUUACAAAUUCAUUUGGGAGUCUGAUGGAUAUGGAAGGUGUGGGAUGAAAUCU